rnacentral:lncRNA from 1 species
UUUUUUUAAUUCUGAUCUUUUUUUUUUUACCUUUGAUUUUCCCUCUCUUUUUUUUUACCUUUGAAUUUCACUCCUUUUUUUUUACUUUUGAACUUUUUUUUAUACUAUAAAGUGUGGAAUUAUAAAGAAGAAUAGUAAUAACACAAGAAGGACAACACUGAAGAUGAAGGAAGAACAAUAAUUAUAGAUAUUGUGCAAAAAGAAGAAGAAGAGAAAAG